rnacentral:lncRNA from 1 species
ACAGGCGGAUUGCGCUGAAAUUUCAGCACAGUGUCCAGAGUAAUGGUGAAACUUCAGUUUUUUACAUUAAAGAUUAUAAAGAAACAUAAUUUUGAUGAAGAGUAACCAAUGAACUUGAACAGUGAACACUAGAGUAACUAAUUCAACUAUUUGUUGUUAUGCAGACUGCCCGCCAGCGGACGGAGGCCAACCGACGGACGCCGGCUCAAAGGCCAACAGUGGCCCGCCCGCCGGCCGACACCGGCCCGCCGGCCGACGGUGGCUCGUCGACCGACACCGGCCCGUCGGCCGACUACGGCCCUCCGGCUGAUGGUGGCCCGCCAGCCGACGGAGGUCCGCCGGCCAUUCGUGGCACGCCCGCCGACGGCAGCUCGACUACACGUCCUGGCUAUGUCACCCCCAAGAUUACUUCGCCCCCCCCCCCCCCCAAGUCCCUAGGUCACCAGUUGCGGGCGCUUCAUCUGACGGUGUCUUCCGACGGCUCCACGGUGACCAGCGCCGCCACUGCGGAAACCAUCGAACCCCGAAAAUGCUGCUAGCCGUACACGAACAAAAGGCGCCAGGCACCCAGGACCAGCGCCCUGCUCCGAGGCGGUAUCUAAGGAAGGCCGCAUAGUGCACUUGCUGUGCUAAGGCAUAGUGCGCGCUGACUGAUAGGAACAAAUGACGGUCAGUUAUCAGAUCUCAGUAUAGAACUCAAGAUGGUCGGAGGGCCCGGUGGAUGGUGUGCCAGGGUUGAUUAAGUGUCGAAAGGAGUGAGACGCCCAGAUAUGUGAAGGAUACGUCGAUACGAGCGAGCCCCGGCUUCGACUCCCCGUCCCAAAACGAUGUUGGUUGUGAUUGGAGUUUGGUAUUUUUACGGAUUCCCCCCCCCCCACACCCCUGAAUUUGUGCUAUGUAAUAGGACGAUAAUAUGUCGUGGUCUCAUUCUGGCUCGAUAUGGCAAUAGGUACUAAAUUGGACAGAUGUUGAUGGUAUUGGUGGUGGAUGUAAAUGACAGGUUUGGCGAGCGCGAACUAGUAAUCGUGAGUGCACUAGCUGCAAUCAGUCGCGCGCUUAUUGCUGAGCACCUGUGAGCAAGAAAAUGGUAUGAAAGUGGUAGUUCGUCGUGAAAUCUGUGUACUUUUGGAUUAAUUUUUAGAACGGAAGUGUAUUUUUGCCGUGUCCACUGCAGCUCUGGAACAGAAACAUAGAGAUCGGCUGUGUGCUGUAGCAGGGGCAAGUAGUCCGUGCCAAAAAAUCAAAGGUGAUAUGUGAAUUUAAGUGAAUAUACCUCGCCUUAUUUUCAAUUUUAUUAUAACAGAACAAAUGCGUCGACUGCUGAUUACCCUCGGCUCCUAACAAUAACGUUUGCAAUACUGGAAAGCACAUAGACAAUAGAUACCCUUGCGACCGACUGGCGCGAUCCGAGAAUCUCUCUCACUGUUUUUGCUGACCUACACUCGAAAACACGGCCGAAUAGCUAUGAGCGAGAGCACGGAACGAUGCUGGUGACUGACGGACCAGCGAAAACAGAGCUCCCGUCUACGCGCGGAACAGCGCUGAUUGGUGCGGCUCACAGACUCCAUUGGCUCAUCAGAGUUCAGACUGUUAACGGUUGUUGCUCCUCCCUCCCCUCCCCGAGAGGGCGUAGCCAAGUAGCUUAGUUGUGUGCGCAGCUGGCGGCCACCGCCCAGUCGUCUUUUUGCAUCUGUGUAACCGUUGAGUGGAUGGUAUCCAGACGAGCUAGGCGUCGGCGUCGCCCAUCCAGCGGUCGGGCACGGGGCAGCGCAGGUGGACGGCCGCGGAUGGUCCGCCACCGAUCUCGGCACACUCUGCAGAGUGCGGCCGGACGCUCCACGGAGUUGCAUAUUGUCGAUAGGCCGUAUGGUGUCGUUGUCGUAAUUAUAAAAGCGUAAGUAGAAGGCUGAAGCAAGAUAGAAUGCUAUCGUUUUCGAGCUUUGUUACACAUAAUUAGUACAUAGGUAUUGGCCGUUUCUUUACAAAUAAUAUCGCAAAGCACAGCUUUAUGUGCUGGUAACGAUAUGUGCGCGUUGGUUGCGGCGGUAAUCGUCGAAGAAAUAUAUAAUUUAUGAAC